rnacentral:tRNA from 1 species
GGCCUCGUAGCUCAGUUAGCAGAGCAUUGGACUAGUAUCUCAAAGGUCGCGGGUUCGAUUCCCACCGUGGUCA